GGCCAGACUCCUACGGGAGGCAGCAGUGAGGAAUAUUGGUCAAUGGCCGUAAGGCUGAACCAGCCAAGUCGCGUGAAGGAAGAAGGAUCUAUGGUUUGUAAACUUCUUUUAUAGGGGAAUAAAGGUAUCCACGUGUGGAUAUUUGCAUGUACCCUAUGAAUAAGCAUCGGCUAACUCCGUGCCAGCAGCCGCGGUAAUACGGAGGGUGCGAGCGUUAAUCGGAAUUACUGGGCGUAAAGCGCUCGUAGGCGGUAGGUCAAGUCAAGGGUGAAAUCCCCGCGCUCAACGUGGGAACUGCCUUUGAAACUGGCAAACUGGAGUGUGUGAGAGGAUAGUGGAAUUCCAGGUGUAGGAGUGAAAUCCGUAGAUAUCUGGAGGAACAUCAGUGGCGAAGGCGACUAUCUGGCACAUAACUGACGCUGAGGAGCGAAAGCGUGGGUAGCAAACAGGAUUAGAUACCCCUGUAC
rnacentral:rRNA from 1 species